rnacentral:rRNA from 1 species
GUGUCAGCCGCCGCGGUAAUACGGAGGGUGCGAGCGUUGUCCGGAAUCACUGGGCGUAAAGGGCGCGUAGGCGGCGCGACAAGGCGGCGGUGAAAGUCCGGGGCUCAACCCCGGAUCGGCCGUGGCGACUGUCGCGCUGGAGCACAGUAGAGGCGGGUGGAAUUCCGGGUGUAGCGGUGGAAUGCGUAGAGAUCCGGAAGAACACCGGUGGCGAAGGCGGCCCGCUGGGCUGUGGCUGACGCUGAGGCGCGACAGCGUGGGGAGCAAACAGGAUUAGAUACCCCCGUAGUCC